rnacentral:rRNA from 1 species
AUUACACAUGCAAAUUAAACAUUUAUAAUAAGUAUAAUUAUAAAUAUGUAGUGAAGACGUGAGUAAAACAUUAGGAAUUAAAUGAACUAUAAAUUAAGUUAAAUGCUUAAUAAUAUAUAUAUAUAUAUAUAUUAAAUAUAUAUAUAUAUAUAAAAAGAAUAUAUAAUAAAUAUAUUUAUUUAUAGUCAAGCCAAUAAUGGUUUAGGUAGUAGGAUUGAAUAAAGUUAAACCGUAGCCAACGAUCCAUAAUCGAUAAUUAAAGUUAUAACGAUCCAGUUGAUUAUGAAAUAUAAUCAAUAUCUAUAUGAUACAGCAGUGGGGAAUAUUAGACAAUGAUCGAAAGAUUGAUCUAGUUACUUAUUAGGAUGAUAUUUAAAUAAUAUUAAUAAUAAUAAUAAUAAUAUAAUUAAUAAUUAUAAUAUUAUAUAUAUAUAUUAAUAUAUUAAUAUAAAUAAAUUAGAUUAAAAAUAAAAUCCAAAUAUAAUAAAAAUAAUGAUAUAAAUUAUCUUUCAAUAAAUAAUAAAGAUUAUAAUAAUAUAUAAAUAUAUUAUAUAUAUUUAUAUAUAUUAUUAUAUAUAUAAUAGUCUUAACAAAUAAUUGUGCCAGCAGUUGCGGUCAUACAAUGAAGGCUAGCGUUAAUCAUAA